GACGAACGCUGGCGGCGUGCUUAACACAUGCAAGUCGAACGGAAAGGCCCUGCUUUUGUGGGGUGCUCGAGUGGCGAACGGGUGAGUAACACGUGAGUAACCUGCCCUUGACUUUGGGAUAACUUCAGGAAACUGGGGCUAAUACCGGAUAGGAGCUCCUGCUGCAUGGUGGGGGUUGGAACGUUUCGGCGGUUGGGGAUGGACUCGCGGCUUAUCAGCUUGUUGGUGGGGUAGUGGCUUACCAAGGCUUUGACGGGUAGCCGGCCUGAGAGGGUGACCGGCCACAUGGGGACUGAGAGACGGACCAGACUCCUACGGGAGGCAGCAGUGGGGAAUAUGGCACAAUGGGAGGAAGCCUGAUGCAGCAACGCCGCGUGCGGGAUGACGGCCUUCGGGUUGUAAACAGCUUUCGCCUGUGACGAAGCGGGAGUGACGGUAAUGGGUAAAGAAGCACCGGCUAACUACGUG
rnacentral:rRNA from 1 species